AAGACCUUGCGCUUUUGGAGCGGCCGAUGCCUGAUUAGCUUGUUGGUGAGGUAAAGGCUUACCAAGGCUUCGAUCAGUAGCUGGUCUGAGAGGACGGCCAGCCACACUGGGGCUGAGACACGGCCCAGACUCCUACGGGAGGCAGCAGUGGGGAAUUUUGGACAAUGGGGGCAACCCUGAUCCAGCCAUGCCGCGUGAGUGAAGAAGGCCUUCGGGUUGUAAAGCUCUUUCAGCCGGAACGAAACGGUUACGGUUAAUACCCGUGACUACUGACGGUACCGGAAGAAGAAGCACCGGCUAACUACGUGCCAGCAGCCGCGGUAAUACGUAGGGUGCAAGCGUUAAUCGGAAUUACUGGGCGUAAAGCGUGCGCAGGUGGUUUUGUAAGUCAGAUGUGAAAUCCCCGGGCUUAACCUGGGAACU
rnacentral:rRNA from 1 species